UUCAAGCAGACAUCAAGGUGACAGCCGUCAGUCACGAGGAGAAGAUUGGUUUGAAAUUUUCACAUCAAAUUUGUCAGAGAAGAAGAACAAAGCAUUAACGGAUGAUGCCAACGAUGACACUUUGCCUGCUGUUGUGGGUUCUUGGUACUGGAGUUAUUUUAUCAGAGGGAGAUGAUCCACCUUUUGAUGAUGAAGAUUUUACUGAUCUUUUUACUUAUGGCGAAAUAAAUUCAACCUUAAUAAUAAAUGACACUGAAGUGCUGCUUCCUCUACUGUUAGGUUAUCAAAGUGUUGAUAAUGAUUUUGGCAGUGGUGAAAUUCCAGAAAAAGACAGGACACACUCCUCAGCUCCCAGAAACCAUGGACUGAAAACAGCUGGUGCUGAAAAUGCUGACCUCUCUUCCCUUGGCCUGAGCUAUGUUCUUUUAGCUUUGUGUAUGCUAGUAUAAAAAAAAAAGUUUGUUUGUUUUUUCUUUUGAAAAGUGUGAGCUGCUUGUAAAUACACAGGAAACCUGUUCACCCCCCACCUGUAAGUUUUAUCAUCCUGCUCUUACUAAGCUGAUUAGUGGUUUGGUUGUUAAAGUGAUUACCUCUGUGUUUCUCGGCACAUGAUCAUAUCACACAUGUUUAUGAGCUACUGAUAUUCAGCAUCUGCAACCACAAAUCCACUGAGAGCGAGGUGUUCCGUUUUAUUUUCAGAUGAAUAAGCCAUUAGAAAUAAAACAAUCUUUAUUUUUCAUCAAUUCUAACCAAGAAAACUUCAGAUUAGCACAUAAGCUGCAAACACCUGACAUAUAAACCAUGAAAACUGUGCCUUCUUUAUUGGUGCAGUCACCUUUUCUAGGUACGCAAAUUUCGGGGUUGAAUCCCCCAGUUGCCAUCAUUGUAAUUACUCAUGCAUGCAUGUGGUAUAUUUUAAAGAACUCACUGACAUUUGCGUGUGUGCAAUCAUCUUGGACUGGCAAGGGUUUGAAACUCAAGUUGGUCCUCAGAGUACACAAACUGAAACCUGCUAGUUUCAAAGUGCAGGUGAGCUGCUGUAGAAGCAACAACAUUUACCCAUUGUUAGGUGUAGAUGAAAACAAAUGAGAGAAGAAGAUGUGUGACCUGUAAAGCCCUUGUAAACUUGUAGUAAGUCUAAAUUUAAAUACAUACAGGGUUUAAAAUGACUUUAAAGUUCAAAUUUCCUCAAGACUGGCCUGCACAGAGUCCUGACCUCAACCCGAUCGAACACUUCUGGGAUGAAUUGAAGCGGAGACUGUGAGUCAAGUCUUUAUAUCCAACAUCAGUGUCUGACCUCACAGACGCACUUCUGGAAGAAUGGUGAAAAAUUCUCAUAAACUCUCCUAAACCUAAGUUGAACAUGUUUGGGCCAACAUCAUAUGAAACCCUGUCACUCAAGUUCACAUGCAUGUGAUGGCAGAGAAGUAAAUAGCUUUGGUUAUAUAGUGCAUGUACAUCUGACCACUGCGCUGUUAAUACUCAUAUUAAAUAAAGGAACAGCUCAAAGAGCAAACAGUAUAAAUUCACUUUGUUCACUUUGUGUCAGGGCUGGCUCUGUGACUCAGCACUUUCAGUUGGUUUUGAUCUCUUGUUAUAUUUUGAAGAUAAUGCGGAGUUUGGGAUUAUUAAUUGGCUGUGAAUUUUAGUUUAGUCUGUUUCACCCAGGCCUUCUGUGCUAUUUGUUAUGUAUUUCUUGUCAGCGUGUUUCAUGUUGUCAAGCCUGUGUCGUCACAUCCACGUCUCUCCAUGUUUCCUGUUUUAUUCUGAAAGUCUUGUGUUUCUUUGUUUAACGUGUUUUACUCUUCUCCUGUGAUGUCCUUAUGUUCAUUUGAGUCAGCUGUUUCCCCGUGUGUUUCCACUUCCCCUGUGUGUAUUUAAGUCCUCCUUCUUCCUUUGUUCAGUGUCAGGUCGUCAGUUUUCCUGCCCUCCGUGUCACUUCAGGUUUCCAAGAAUUUCAUGAUUUUGUUCAGGGCACGUUCAUGUGUCUAGUUCGUGUUUGUAUUUCACAGUUUCUUUCAUAGCUGCACAAAAUCAUGUUCAUAGUCAUCAUAGUCAUUUCUAGUGUUUCCAGUUUAGGUUUUAGUUUAGCCCUUUCCACUGUUCAUGUUGUUUUGUUUUGUUUUGCACUCUUGUCAUAAGCCCUAUUAAAGUCUCGCGUUUUGUUUAAAGUUC